rnacentral:piRNA from 1 species
GCUGAGUGCUUCAGAUGUGGAGCUGGGUCU